GAUGAUGCGUGCAAGGAAGGAAAGAUGCAGACAAGCAACGCCGAAGACGUCUUCAAAGCGCUUGAUGGGAUUGAGUUCCCAGAGUUGGUAGAGCCCCUGAGGACUGCAUUGGAUGAAGCAAAAAGGCAUCCUGGAGCAAAAUAGAGGAAACUAGAUAAAGAGCCAAUGCUGCAGAGCAAAAUGAUCGAGCAAACAAAGCCAACGCGGGCGAUGAUUAACUGCUCUAACCUUGUGGAAUGACACAAUCAAUCCAACUGUUACCUUUGGGGUGCUUUUUGGAUGGACUAAUCUGAAGAUGUUGGCUAGCUUGCACCGCCCUCAUAUAAUCUAGAAGCAGGGGCAAGGAUUAUAGGGAAAAUAAAGGUACAAUGCUCCCAGUAUAUUUUAUUUUUGGCAAAGUUUUGGUGCUUGCGCAAGAAAGUAACACCAUCAUUACAGGCUCAUUUUAUUUUAUCUUAGUUCAUGCACUAAUGCAUAAAUCUUUUGGUGUUGCCCUUAUUAUUUAGUCUAGAGCUAUGCAAUGACAACCAUGGCUUUAGUGUUCAGGUGAGUUUCAUUUAUAGAGUGAAGAACCCUUGGCAUCUUAUCUAAAUUCUUUGAUCCUAGAUAUUAUGUAUACCCAGUUAAGUACCUUAUACCAGUACCUUAAUUAGCCUCUUCUGACUAUUGAUUGUUUGAACUGUUGUAGUAGGACUCAGACUUUCAAUGUUAUUAGGCUUGUGGACAUGUUUUUAUUUUAGAUUGUACAGUAUCGGGUUCUUUUGGCUUCUAGUUGCUGCUGCACAAAAAUACACUAAACUCAGAUGAUGCAUGAAAAAAAUUGCAGACUUAACAUAGUUUUUGUAUUCUGAUUUUUUUGUGAUGCCCUUAUGUUAAAAUGCUUAUUUGUUCUCCAAGUAGGCCAACGACGGCUGCUAGCAAUGAU